rnacentral:rRNA from 1 species
AGAGUUUGAUCCUGGCUCAGGACGAACGCUGGCGGCGUGCCUAAUACAUGCAAGUCGAGCGGACCUUCGGGUCAGCGGCGGACGGGUGAGUAACACGUGGGCAAUCUGCCGAGCAGACCGGAAUAACGCCUGGAAACGGGUGCUAAUGCCGGAUAGGCAGUGAGGAGGCAUCUUCUUGCUGGGAAAGGUGCAAGUGCACCGCUGUUCGAGGAGCCCGCGGCGCAUUAGCUAGUUGGUAAGGUGACGGCUUACCAAGGCGACGAUGCGUAGCCGACCUGAGAGGGUGACCGGCCACACUGGGACUGAGACACGGCCCAGACUCCUACGGGAGGCAGCAGUAGGGAAUCUUCCGCAAUGGGCGAAAGCCUGACGGAGCAACGCCGCGUGAGCGAAGAAGGCCUUCGGGUUGUAAAGCUCAGUCACUCGGGAAGAGCGACCUAAGGAGUGGAAAGCCUUAGGGGAGACGGUACCGAGGGAGGAAGCCCCGGCAAACUACGUGCCAGCAGCCGCGGUAAUACGUAGGGGGCAAGCGUUGUCCGGAAUCACUGGGCGUAAAGCGUGCGUAGGCGGUUUUUUGGGUCUGGGGUGAAAGUUCAAGGCUCAACCUUGAGAAUGCCUUGGAAACUAAAAAACUUGAGUGCUGGAGAGGCAAGGGGAAUUCCACGUGUAGCGGUGAAAUGCGUAGAGAUGUGGAGGAAUACCAGUGGCGAAGGCGCCUUGCUGGACAGUGACUGACGCUGAGGCACGAAA